UGGGGAAUCUUGCGCAAUGGCCGAAAGGCUGACGCAGCGACGCCGCGUGUGGGAGGACGCCCUUCGGGGUGUAAACCACUGUUGCCCGGGACGAACAUCCCCUUUCGAGGGGACUGACGGUACCGGGUGAGGAAGCACCGGCUAACUCCGUGCCAGCAGCCGCGGUAAUACGGAGGGUGCGAGCGUUGUCCGGAAUCACUGGGCGUAAAGGGCGCGUAGGUGGCGCGGGUAGUCGUCGGUGAAAGUUCAGGGCUCAACCCUGAAUCGGCCGGCGAUACUCCCGUGCUCGAGUGUGGUAGAGGCCAAUGGAAUUCCGGGUGUAGCGGUGGAAUGCGUAGAGAUCCGGAAGAACACCGGUGGCGAAGGCGGUUGGCUGGGCCACAACUGACACUGAUGCGCGACAGCGUGGGGAGCAAACA
rnacentral:rRNA from 1 species